GGGGCCUGUUCCCACCAUGGCAUCCGUGACAAGAACCAGGAGCCAGAAUGCAGGUUUCUGGGACUUGUCAGCUCCCUUCUGAGUGCCCUGUUGAGGAUUCCUAGAAGUCCAGACACCUCACCCCCCUAACCUGGAUGGACCACGCAGAGCCAAUAGGAAUACUUUUCUGUGGACGUGCCAUGUUGGAAUCCCAGAUCUCCCUGCCCUGCCAGCCCCUGCCAGCUUCCUGGGGACCCAACUGACCCUGAAGAAAGCCUCUGAUGGGCCUAGAACAGAGAAGGUGACCCAGGACCUUGCCCAGCCUUUCUGGACAACUGGAAGACAGUUACGCUUCGUCCUCCACCUCUCCCUCCAACAAAAGGAUCUUAGCAAGUG